rnacentral:lncRNA from 1 species
CCCAGUCAGUGUGACUUUGUUAUGGUGGCCCCAGCCAACCAAGACAGGCAGUGUGGGGAAGAACAGGGGACAUCUAUGAUACUUAUUGUUCUGCUCUCCUGGUUGGGUUUUUACCAUGUGCAUGCAUUACUCUUAUAGUUAAAAAAUGAAGAAAACUGACUUGAGGAAAGUCAACGGCGCGUGGUGACUCACGCCUGUAAUCCCAG